CGUGCAGAAGCGGGGAUUAAAACAUAAGACGAGAAGACCCUAUGGAGCUUUAGACAAAGAGCAGACCAUGUUAAACACCCCUAAAUAAAGGACAAAACCAAUUGGCCCCUGCCCUUAUGUCUUUGGUUGGGGCGACCGCGGGGAAACAAAAAACCCCCAUGUGGACGGAAGACAUUCCUCUUCACAACCAAGAGCCACAGCUCUAAGCAACAGAACAUCUGACCAACAAGAUCCGGCACUAAGCCGAUCAACGGACCGAGUUACCCUAGGGAUAACAGCGCAAUCUCCUUUUAGAGCCCCCAUCGACAAGGAGGUUUACAACCUCGAUGUUGGAUCAGGACAUCCUAAUGGUGCAGCCGCUAUUAAGGGUUCGUUUGUUCAACGAUUAAAGUCCUACGUGAUCUGAGUUCAGACCGGAGAUCGCGAUGUUUAUCAAAAACAUAAUCGUGAUCUGAUUUCAGACCAGAUCGCCUGUUUGUCAAAAACAUAUAUCGUGUUCUGAUUUCAGACCAGAACGCCAGUUUAUCAAAACCAUAUACG
rnacentral:rRNA from 1 species